CUUGCACCRCYUGAUUAGUGGCGAACGGGUGAGUAACACGUGAGUAACCUGCCCYCCACUUCGGGAUAACCUCGGGAAAUCGUGGCUAAUACCGGAUACGAGCACUCAUCGCAUGGUGGGUGYUGGAAAGAUUUAUCGGUGGGGGAUGGACUCGCGGCCUAUCAGUUUGUUGGUGAGGUGAUGGCUCACCAAGACGAUGACGGGUAGCCGGCCUGAGAGGGCGACCGGCCACACUGGGACUGAGACACGGCCCAGACUCCUACGGGAGGCAGCAGUGGGGAAUAUUGCACAAUGGGCGAAAGCCUGAUGCAGCGACGCCGCGUGGGGGAUGACGGCCUUCGGGUUGUAAACCCCUUUCAGUAGGGAAGAAGCGAGAGUGACGGUACCUGCAGAAGAAGCGCCGGCUAACUACGUGCCAGCAGCCGCGGUAAUACGUAGGGCGCAAGCGUUGUCCGGAAUUAUUGGGCGUAAAGAGCUUGUAGGUGGCUUGUCGCGUCUGCCGUKAAAACCCGAGGCUCAACCUCGGGCGUGCGGYGGGUACGGGCAGGCUAGAGUGUGGUAGGGGAGACUGGAACUCCUGGUGUAGCGGUGAAAUGCGCAGAUAUCAGGAAGAACACCGAUGGCGAAGGCAGGUCUCUGGGCCAUUACUGACACUGAGAAGCGAAAGCAUGGGUAGCGAACAGGAUUAGAUACCCUGGUAGUCCAUGCCGUAAACGUUGGGCACUAGGUGUGGGGGACAUUCCACGUUUUCCGCGCCGUAGCUAAC
rnacentral:rRNA from 1 species